GGGCCUAUAGCUUAGUGGUAAAGCGCGUGCAUGGCAUGCACGAAAUCGGGGUCCGAUUCCCCGUAGGUCCACCA
rnacentral:tRNA from 1 species